GGGGAUUUAGCUCAGUGGUAGAGCGCUUGCCUAGAGAAGCGCAAGGCCCUGGGUUCGGUCCCCAGCUCCG
rnacentral:tRNA from 1 species